GUAGGUGGCAAGCGUUGUCCGGAAUUAUUGGGCGUAAAGCGCGCGCAGGCGGUUCUUUAAGUCUGAUGUGAAAGCCCACGGCUCAACCGUGGGGGGUCAUUGGAAACUGGAGAACUUGAGUACAGAAGAGGAAAGCGGAAUUCCACGUGUAGCGGUGAAAUGCGUAGAGAUGUGGAGGAACACCAGUGGCGAAGGCGGCUUUCUGGUCUGUAACUGACGCUGAGGCGCGAAAGCGUGGGGAGCAAACAGGAUUAGAUACCCUGGUAGUCCACGCCGUAAACGAUGAGUGCUAAGUGUUAGGGGGUUUCCCGCCCCCCUUAGUGCUGCAGCUAACGCAUUAAGCACUCCGCCUGGGGAGUACGGCCGCAAGGCUG
rnacentral:rRNA from 1 species